CUGUGUUGCAGUGGUAGCAUGGGCCCUCGACAAGGGCGAAACGCGGGUUCAACUCCCGUGCCAGGUCGA